CCCCACUGCUAUCGGGGUGGGACUAAAACAUGCAAGUCGAGCGCCUCCAAGCUAUGGUGAAGGCGCGGCAAACGGCUCAGUAACACGUGGCCAACCUACCCUUGGGACGGAGACAACCCCGGGAAACUGGGGCUAAUCCCCGAUAAGUAAGGAAUCCUGGAAUGGAUCUUUGCUGAAAGGGCGUCUGGACCAUGCUUCUUGACGUCGCCCAAGGAUGGAGCCGCGACCGAUCAGGUAGUUGGCGAGGCAACGGCUCACCAAGCCUAUAACCGGUACGGGCCGUGAGAGCGGGAGCCCGGAGAUGGGCACUGAGACAAGGGCCCAGGCCCUACGGGGCGCAGCAGUUGCGAAAACUCCGCAAUGCGCGAAAGCGUGACGGGGCUACCCCGAGUGCCGCCCGUUGAGGGCGGCUUUUCCACGGUGUAAGGAGCCGUGGGAAUAAGGAGAGGGCAAGACUGGUGUCAGCCGCCGCGGUAAUACCAGCUCUCCGAGUGGUGGGGACGAUUAUUGGGCUUAAAGCGUUCGUAGCCGGCUUAACAAGUCUUCCGUUAAAUCCAACGAUCUAAUCGUUGGGCUGCGGGAGAUACUGUUGGGCUAGGAGGCGGGAGAAGCCGACGGUAUUCUCGGGGUAGGGGUGAAAUCCUGUAAUCCCGGGAGGACCACCAGUGGCGAAGGCGGUCGGCUAGAACGCGCUCGACGGUGAGGGACGAAAGCUGGGGGAGCGAACCGGAUUAGAAACCCGGGUAGUCCCAGCUGUAAACGAUGCGGGCUAGGUGUUGGGGUGGCCACGAGCCACUUCAGUGCCGCAUGGAAGCAAUUAAGCCCGCCGCCUGGGGAGUACGGCCGCAAGGCUGAAACUUAAAGGAAUUGGCGGGGGAGCACCACAAGGCGUGAAGCUUGCGGUUU
rnacentral:rRNA from 1 species